UACGAAGGGGGCUAGCGUUGUUCGGAAUUACUGGGCGUAAAGCGUACGUAGGCGGAUUGUUAAGUGAGGGGUGAAAUCCCGGGGCUCAACCCCGGAACUGCCUUUGAUACUGCGAAUCUCGAGUCCGGAAGAGGUGAGUGGAAUUCCUAGUGUAGAGGUGAAGUUCGUAGAUAUUAGGAAGAACACCAGUGGCGAAGGCGGCUCAGCUGGCCCGGAACUGACGCUGAGGUACGAAAGCGUGGGGAGCAAACAGG
rnacentral:rRNA from 1 species